GCGUAUACCGCUGAUACUGGAAAUUGAAUAUCCGGUAUUGUCAGUGAAACCCGAGACUAUCGACUUCGGUGACGUCAGCGACGGUGGCACGAAGAAGAGCUAUAUCACUGUCUCACAUUCCAGCCGAACCAAAACAAUAUACUUGGUAACCAGGUGGAUAGGCGACGAUACAUUCCGUCUCUGGCCGCCGACCUUGACUCUACCACCUGGAACAUCUGCUCGGAUAUAUAUUGAAUAUACGGC
rnacentral:misc_RNA from 1 species